AGGGCAAGAAACUUGCUGUUGGACAGGUUUAAGUCCUGAAGAGUCCCUAAGGUUACUCCCACCAUCUCCAACAGUACACCUGAAUGGAGACAAACUCCUGUUCCACCCUAGCCCACAUGCUGUUUGUCCCAAGCUGCACUCAGCACUCAGGACUAUCUUCGUAAGCCUGAGAAGGCAAGGAAAAUGAGAACAUGUUACCAGUGUUCAACCUAGGCUGAGCCCUAGCAACCAGGGGCCAUCAUCCCAGCUUCAGAGGUUACAGAAUGGCAGUUCAGAGUUAAAUAACUUGCCCAAGGUUAUCCAAGAUGUAGACAGUAGAUGAGAUGUAAGCUGUGGUCCAACUCAAAAAGUCCCAAUACAGAGCACUACUCCCCCAACUUCAAGCUCAGCUUCCAAAAGCAGUUUCCCACAGAAUCCCCUGCCCAAUAUAUCCUACAACAAGCACGUGCAGGGUUCCCAGCGGGAGGGUGGACCAAGGAUAUAUGCUCUGAUGACCAUUUCCAAUUUCUACAUAUCUCAACUCAUGAUGGGAAAUGUAAUGAGAACAAGCCACUGAAUCAGUCUCUGGAUUUGGCGAGCUAACCCAAGGACCUGGAGCUUGCACCUCUCACCUCCCCUCAGGAAGUUCAGGAAGAAAUGACAACACAAGUUCUCAAUGACAUAGAAACGGACAACCUGCAGAAUCAAAAAUGAAAAACAAGCCCCCAAGACUGUGACCCCCACUACCACCCUCAGGCUGUGGACCUUGAGAAAAAGCCCCUGGAAGGCUGAGACCAAGUAUGACAAGGGUCCUACUCUGUACCUGAGCCCCAAGGUAAGGAAUCUGAGUCAGAGGCAGGCAGCCCAUCUACUCAGUAUCAUGCCUAGAGGCCAUUCCCAGUCUAGCAAGCCCUUCAUAUAGCCACGAAACACCCUGCCCCCCUUCCUAGCCUAUCCACCUUGGGCAGCCUAGGUGAGAAGUUCAUCAUCUCCCAGGAUGAGAAGGACUUAGUCAUGGGGCUGAAAACCACAGUCCUCUUCUACUCCUCCAAUACUGAAUGCAGCUGCCAAAUUGUACUUGUUUUCCUGGCUAAGUAUCCUACUUCCCACUCUCACAUUCAGUGGAAGGUUAGCUACCCCAAACUACCCAUGCACGUACCAGGGCUACAUCAGCUUCUUAAGACAGAACUUUGGCACAAAGCUUCCUUCCAUGUUCCUUGCCCUCCCAUCACGAAGUUCCCUUACAAAAACUGGGUACCCACCCCUCUUAGCACUUGCCCACAUACUCUCUAAGGUCCUGUUCAGAUGCUCGCCCCUCUAUGAGUUCCUCCCAGACUGCCAACCACAUGUGGUCUCUUCUUGGGGUUUCUGGGGCACACACUUCACAGCUAUGCACUUGUCUGACCCUAUGCUCCCUUGGGCCCUUAAUCUAGUCAUUAAUCUCCUGUGGUGGUAAGGGAUGCAG